rnacentral:tRNA from 1 species
GGGGGUAUAGCUCAGCUGGUAGAGCGCGUCGUUCGCAAUGACGAGGCCAGGGGUUCGAAUCCCCUUACCUCCA